UACGUAGGGUGCAAGCGUUAAUCGGAAUUACUGGGCGUAAAGCGUGCGCAGGCGGUUAUGUAAGACAGGUGUGAAAUCCCCGGGCUAACCUGGGAACUGCAUUUGUGACUGCAUAGCUAGGAGUACGGUAGAGGGGAUGGAAUUCCGCGUGUAGCAGUGAAAUGCGUAGAUAUGCGGAGGAACACCGAUGGCGAAGGCAGUCCCCUGGACCUGUACUGACGCUCAUG
rnacentral:rRNA from 1 species